GAGGAUCGGGCAAGGCCGGCGUCCGGUCUGCGCGGGGCGCGGGUGCUCUCCGAAGGCCGCGAGCCACGGGCCUCGCUGCGGGUUCAAGUGCGUCCGGGUUUGGACGUCGCGGCUCCAGGAGUGUGCUCUCUCUCCUGCCCAUCCCCUCCCCGGAGUUCAGCGCAUCCGGGGCCCCGGGGACCCCUCUUCCCGGCCCUCCUGGCCGCGCUGGCCCGCCCGCAUGGGGCCGAGGUUCCUGGCCGACGCGCGAGGGCGCGGGCGGGUACCGGGUUCCCGUUUUUCCCAGGCCCCGAUCCCCGCCCACGCACGAGGCCCCCGGCCCACGCACGAGGCGCCCACGCCCAUCGUGGAGGCUCCGCCUGGAAAAGAAGUCCGACUUCCUCUCCAAGCUGCUCCGAGGGGAAUGGGGAAUCGGCAGGAAAUGACCCGAACUGCCAGCCUGCGCCUUUGCAGCCGGCCCUCGCUUUGCUGAAGACGAGCAGCUCCCACCAAAGUCUUGCCUCCCCUUACCCCGAAAGCCCCGCUCAGUUCAAUAUUUCAAGUGAAAAUCUGCCUGUUCGAAAAGAAAAUAUUCACAAAUGAGCAGUGUAUUAGAAGACAACUGAAUUGCUUCUAAGAAUGGGUCUCACUCUGCCAUCACCCAGGCUGGAGUGUGGUGGCACCAUCAUGGCUCACUGCAGCCUUGAACUCCUGAGCUCAAGUCAUCCUCCCACCUCAGCCUUCCGAGUAGCUGGAACUGCAGGUGUGAGCCACCAUGCCUGGCUGAUUUGUCUUUUUAAAUUUUUUAUAGAGACCGAGUCUCAACUAUAUUGUCCAGGCUGGAAAAGAACUUCUUUCCCUCCAAGUGAUAACCUUUUCCAGACAAGUCAGCUUAAAAACUGACCCAAAGGCCCUGAAGUACACAGUUUUCUUGGAGAAAGAAAAAAAUAAGUGAAAAGGACUUGCUGACUUGCUAAUUCAUUUUGGGGCCUGUGGGUAACAUCAGAAUGGCAAAGCACUUGGGGCUUUUUUCUAAUUUGUAUUUUUUUAAUCUUCUGAGAAAUGACUUUUAUAUGCCAAGAUUCAUUCCAUGAUUAGUUUUUAUGACCAAGUUAUGAACGCUUUUGAAUAUGGGGACCUAGAAUAGAAAUGCUAACCUACCUGCAAGGAGAGCUCUGUGAUUGGCAUCCCCAUCAUGCUGUAACUGACACAAAAUAAACUUAGGGUAAUUGCCGCAUAGUGUAACUUUAAUGUGUGAGCAUACUGUAACAUCUGACAAGCUUCUUGAUCUAGAUCAGCAAUGUGUAACCCAUUCAUUGUUGUCACUCUCAACAAGGCCUUAUGGUCAAACAUCAUCACUCUCACUAAAGAGAUAGUUUACUGAAAUAUACUGAGAUUUUGAAACUGGAGUCAAGAGGUAGCACACUGUUUUAUGUUGAUCCAUUUAAUGGUCCUUGACAGCCAAUAAAAAGACACUGGAAGAAUA
rnacentral:lncRNA from 1 species